UACGUAGGGUGCGAGCGUUGUCCGGAAUUAUUGGGCGUAAAGAGCUCGUAGGCGGUCUGUUGCGUCCGCUGUGAAAACUCGGGGCUUAACCCCGAGCCUGCAGUGGAUACGGGCAGACUAGAGGUAGGUAGGGGAGAAUGGGAUUCCCGGUGUAGCGGUGAAAUGCGCAGAUAUCGGGAGGAACACCGGUGGCGAAGGCGGUUCUCUGGGCCUUACCUGACGCUGAGGAGCGAAAGCGUGGGGAGCGAACAGG
rnacentral:rRNA from 1 species